CUAAAACUCGCCACUACCUACAGGGCUAAGAUGAGAGUUUUCACCCCAAACGGCUACUAUGCAGAUAGUUACUACUCUGAUCCAGUGAGCACACUUGCAAGUAGCUGGUCAGAGUGGGCUGCCUGGUCGGUCUGUACACCCAGCUGCGGCGCGGGGAACCAGACACGAAACCGUACGUGUAACACCGCACCCGGGAACAACGGUACCGCUGGUGUAGCCAACUGUACCGGGGACUCUUUCCAAACCAGGGCGUGUAUGGACAUCGGACCAU